rnacentral:rRNA from 1 species
UACAGAGGUCCCAAGCGUUGUUCGGAUUCAUUGGGCGUAAAGGGUGCGUAGGCGGCGCGGUAAGUCGGGUGUGAAAUCUCGGGGCUUAACUCCGAAACUGCAUUCGAUACUGCCGUGCUUGAGGACUGGAGAGGAGACUGGAAUUUACGGUGUAGCGGUGAAAUGCGUAGAUAUCGUAAGGAAGACCAGUGGCGAAGGCGGGUCUCUGGACAGUUCCUGACGUGAGGCACGAAGGUCAGGGGAGCAAACGGG